ensembl:lncRNA
GUCCACUCUUAACCUCCUUUGCACACCCGCUCUCUUGGAGAGACUGCAGGGGAGAAAUGUGUCUGCAGUAAAUGUGGAGAAGGAAUCUGCCAGGUGAAAAAUGUCUCUGCAAGCUUUCCUAAGGAGGAAGGGCUUGCCUUCUGUCGCUGCCUUCCUCUAGGAGUCCACGGAAGAGCUGCUGUUGGAUUACAGCUAAAUUCAGCAGGACCCACAGUUACUCUACACAGUUGAGCUAUUGGCCGGUAAAUCACUUAGCGUCUCUAAGCUUCUCUUCUUUGCCUCGGUAAAAUGCACGCACAGCUUACCUCCUCAGGUUUUGCGAGAGUUCAGUGAUGAUACGUGGUGCUUAGCACAGUGCCCGGUCAUAUCCUUGGGAGGACGCUGUCCUCGUGUUCUGCUGGUAGCCAUGGGCCUGUCGGCCAGACACUUUCAACAGAGGACCCACGUCCUAAGUGAUGGGGAUCCUGAGGAAGACAGUGUGAUGGGACAGAAAGAGAACUGGGUAGGAGUCACGACCUGGGUGUUUUAGUCCCAGCUCUGUUAGUAAUCGCCAUGUGACCUUGAGGAAGGUAUCACCCCUUCUCCGUGCUCCGUCCCUACUGAAACACUUCUCUGUCCCUAAACAGGUUACUCUGUCACUCACCAUGCCUCGAUGCACGCCAGUCCCUCAGGCAGUUGUCCUCCCCCCGUCCUGUUCUUGGUUAAUUCCUUCCUCCUCUUUCCUCUAUGAGAUCUACCCUGAUCCCCUGUGCCGGAUCAGGGCCCCCCCCCCACCGCAAUUCCAAGGCACUCGCAUUGGCAAGGCUUCGUCUCCCCUGCCUUCCCCACUGCGCUGUAACCACCUCUGUCUGAAGCUGUGCAUUUGGUGUCAAGACCAGGACGCUGCUCCAUAAACACUUGCGGAAUGGAUGCGUGAGUGAAAGAAGGAUGAGUGAAGGGUCCCUGCCGUCACCGACGUAGGUCUCGAGUGGAGAAAAAAUGAAAGAAAGUAUGUGAAAGGCUUUGAUGAGAGACGGCCUUUAGUUUUAAGUUUGUAGGAGGCACAGUGUACCUUUAGUACUAGUAUUUUAAGUUGGUUUCUCGUACUAGGAUGCAUAAGUUUUAGUGGAACAAAAAAGCAUUCUUUUUCGGUACUGUCUUCGUAGUACGGACCCAUUCUUUGUCAUAGAAACAGGACAAGCUUUAUGUGGGCCAGAGGCUCUGAUGUUUGAAACUGUGAGCGACCGAACUUCUCAUUCCACAGGGAGAGAUAAGGCUCUGAAAGCCCAAGCCCCUGGGGGGCAGCCCUGUGUGGCUUCACUCUCCCGGGCAUGAGUGGGUGGGGCAGGUCCCAGCCGCCCAGAGGACGCAGGAGGGAAAUGGGGUUCUCAGAGCAGAGGUGGGAAGCUCUGGAAGGAAGAAAAGGGGUCCUGGGGCACAGAAAAUCAACAUCGUCGACUUCCUCAGCUUCAUCACGGAGGCAGUUCAGGCAAGGAAAGAGCAGGGACUCUGGAGUCUGACAAGCCUGAGUUUGGAUCCCAGCCCCAUAUGUGGGUCUUUGCUGCACUUCAUGAGCCCUCUCGCUGGAGGUUAUGUUUCCCCAAAGCAAUGCUUGAACUCUGUCCCGUGAUAAAACGGCUCUUCCUUGGUGUUAGGUCUGUUUUUCCUUCAGAAAAUGUGUUUUUUUUUAUUGCAUGAAGAAGAGAAAGCAUGUUUAACAGGAAUAGUCGUUUCCAAUGGCCAGUCCUGAUGCAGAGCCGUAAGAUGGCCAGAGAUGACAUGAGAUCAUGUCCAUGGGUGUGCUUUGUUAACAGACAACUCUGUAGGGAUGUAUAUAUUCAUAUAUAUAUGGAAGAGCCCCGCUGCAGCUGCCUUUGCCAUUAGAAUGAGUGCACUGUGGAUCUAUUAUUCACCUCUUCAGGUCCAGCCCAGGAGUUGUGUAGGCUCAUUUUUCCCUUUCCUCUGACCCUUGAUGUCUCCACAGAUGAGCCACCUGCUGUAUCUUGGUGUGAGGGCGGAGAUGUGGGGUAAAGUAAUGAGGCUGCAAGGCCUUCCUAUGCCUGUUGGCUGCUCUAAAGGGUAGUUGAGGGACACUGCGAAGCCACAAAUCUGAGAUGUCAGCUCAUAAAUAUGUAAGCUCCUCACUUAGGUAAUAAGCUCCUUGACAGCCAAAACGGUCAUUUGCACAUUCUAGUCAGCUGAACACAAAGUUCCAGUUGCCAGCCUGUCCCUAGAUACUGGGGACUGAAAGCUGGUGAGUAGAGAGUGGGGAGGGAGGCUGGGCUGAUGGCUGCCCGCCAUGGCUGCUGUCCUCGCCCCCCGCCCCACCAUCGGGGGCUUUGUCUCUGGGUAUUUUGAUUACUAAGUGUGGGGAAGAAUUCUGCACUUGGGAUAGGAAGAGGGUUAAAUGUGUAAAUGGGGACAGGAAAAAGAGUUGCCAGCAUUUAGAUUUUAGCAGCUGUAACCGAAUCUGUCCAAAUUUCAAUCUCUGUUGUAUUAUGUUUCAAACUCUACUGGGAGUUUUAAUAAAAAUCAAAUCAGUAGUUUACGAUAUGUAUAUCUCAUUUGAAAAUAUAGGCCUGCAGUUCAGAUUCAGGGCGGGAAGCAGCUAUUUGGUACCCAAACAUUUACUGAGCGCCUAAUAUGUUAUAAGCACUUUGUAAGUUUGGGGGAUUCAAAAGUGGAUCAAGGAGAGGUACGGUUAGGACACAGCUUAAUUCUAGUGUAAUACACCAUAUGAUAAGCCACAGAGUAGGUCUGUCGGCAAAAUACGAUCAGAACAUAUGGAAGGAAAGGAUAAAUUCUCCUUUGGGCGGUAGGGAAGGAGUCCCAGGCAUUAGAGCUGAGUCUAGAAGGAUGAGUAGGGAGGUGGCAGUGAGGGGAGGGCAUUUUAGACAGGAAUUGGCUGGAGUCUCCGUUUAUACACAGAAGCAUGAAAGUGCAUGGGUGUCAUGAGAUGAUCUUCAUAUUACAUGCUUAAAACAAAAUCGUUUUUGGAGUCUCAAAAUAGGCAGUGAUUAGUAAUAGAUCCCAUUAAAUAGGGAUUAUAAUGAUGAUGAAUUAACAACUCGUAUCAGACAUGAUUCGAAAUCACAUCACAUUUUCACAGCUGAUUGGAGACAGUAGAACGUGAUUCAAGUAGUAUUGAUACAAGGGAGAGGAUGUAUAGGAAUGGCCGCACCGUGUGUUUAGAACCUUGGUUCUGUGCCUGUGUGGGUGGGUGGUCUCAGACUACUGGUUAACUCAUGAUAUCUGUGUAUCCAUUUCUAAAAAUCAUUGCUUGAAAAGGAAGAGCUGCUCAAGAGAGAGAACAGGAGAUUGAGUCCAAACAACUUGAAUUCACUUGAAAAGUCAGAAAAAGUCACUGGGAAAGUAUCUAUAUU